rnacentral:rRNA from 1 species
GAGCACUGUUUCGGCAAGGGGGUCAUCCCGACUUACCAACCCGAUGCAAACUGCGAAUACCGGAGAAUGUUAUCACGGGAGACACACGGCGGGUGCUAACGUCCGUCGUGAAGAGGGAAACAACCCAGACCGCCAGCUAAGGUCCCAAAGUCAUGGUUAAGUGGGAAACGAUGUGGGAAGGCCCAGACAGCCAGGAUGUUGGCUUAGAAGCAGCCAUCAUUUAAAGAAAGCGUAAUAGCUCACUGGUCGAGUCGGCCUGCGCGGAAGAUGUAACGGGGCUAAACCAUGCACCGAAGCUGCGGCAGCGACACUAUGUGUUGUUGGGUAGGGGAGCGUUCUGUAAGCCUGUGAAGGUGUGCUGUGAGGCACGCUGGAGGUAUCAGAAGUGCGAAUGCUGACAUAAGUAACGAUAAAGCGGGUGAAAAGCCCGCUCGCCGGAAGACCAAGGGUUCCUGUCCAACGUUAAUCGGGGCAGGGUGAGUCGACCCCUAAGGCGAGGCCGAAAGGCGUAGUCGAUGGGAAACAGGUUAAUAUUCCUGUACUUGGUGUUACUGCGAAGGGGGGACGGAGAAGGCUAUGUUGGCCGGGCGACGGUUGUCCCGGUUUAAGCGUGUAGGCUGGUUUUCCAGGCAAAUCCGGAAAAUCAAGGCUGAGGCGUGAUGACGAGGCACUACGGUGCUGAAGCAACAAAUGCCCUGCUUCCAGGAAAAGCCUCUAAGCAUCAGGUAACAUCAAAUCGUACCCCAAACCGACACAGGUGGUCAGGUAGAGAAUACCAAGGCGCUUGAGAGAACUCGGGUGAAGGAACUAGGCAAAAUGGUGCCGUAACUUCGGGAGAAGGCACGCUGAUAUGUAGGUGAAGUCCCUCGCGGAUGGAGCUGAAAUCAGUCGAAGAUACCAGCUGGCUGCAACUGUUUAUUAAAAACACAGCACUGUGCAAACACGAAAGUGGACGUAUACGGUGUGACGCCUGCCCGGUGCCGGAAGGUUAAUUGAUGGGGUCAGCGCAAGCGAAGCUCUUGAUCGAAGCCCCGGUAAACGGCGGCCGUAACUAUAACGGUCCUAAGGUAGCGAAAUUCCUUGUCGGGUAAGUUCCGACCUGCACGAAUGGCGUAAUGAUGGCCAGGCUGUCUCCACCCGAGACUCAGUGAAAUUGAACUCGCUGUGAAGAUGCAGUGUACCCGCGGCAAGACGGAAAGACCCCGUGAACCUUUACUAUAGCUUGACACUGAACAUUGAGCCUUGAUGUGUAGGAUAGGUGGGAGGCUUUGAAGUGUGGACGCCAGUCUGCAUGGAGCCGACCUUGAAAUACCACCCUUUAAUGUUUGAUGUUCUAACGUGGACCCGUAAUCCG